AGAGUUUGAUCCUGGCUCAGAUUGAACGCUGGCGGCAGGCCUAACACAUGCAAGUCGAGCGGAAACGAUCCUAGCUUGCUAGGAGGCGUCGAGCGGCGGACGGGUGAGUAACGCGUGAGAAUCUACCCAUGAGUGGGGGACAACCCGGGGAAACUCGGGCUAAUACCGCAUACGCCCUACGGGGUAAAGCAGGGGACCUUCGGGCCUUGCGCUGAUGGAUGAGCUCGCGUCGGAUUAGCUUGUUGGUGAGGUAAAGGCUCACCAAGGCGACGAUCCGUAGCUGGUCUGAGAGGAUGAUCAGCCACACCGGGACUGAGACACGGCCCGGACUCCUACGGGAGGCAGCAGUGGGGAAUCUUGGACAAUGGGGGCAACCCUGAUCCAGCCAUGCCGCGUGUGUGAAGAAGGCCUUCGGGUUGUAAAGCACUUUCAGCAGGGAGGAAGGCUUACCCCUAAUACGGGUGAGUACUUGACGUUACCUGCAGAAGAAGCACCGGCUAAUUUCGUGCCAGCAGCCGCGGUAAUACGAAAGGUGCAAGCGUUAAUCGGAAUUACUGGGCGUAAAGCGCGCGUAGGCGGUGUGUUAAGUCGGAUGUGAAAGCCCAGGGCUCAACCUUGGAAUUGCAUCCGAUACUGGCACGCUAGAGUGCAGUAGAGGGAGGUGGAAUUUCCGGUGUAGCGGUGAAAUGCGUAGAGAUCGGAAGGAACACCAGUGGCGAAGGCGGCCUCCUGGACUGACACUGACGCUGA
rnacentral:rRNA from 1 species